UGCAGAUAUAGUUUUCAUAUAAUGCUCAUAGGACACCUCAGAGUUCAACUGUCAACUCUGAUCAGGUUGUCCACAUUGUAUUUCAAAAUAUCAAAUUCAUCUGAUGGAUUAUCCUGGCCAAGAUUUUGCUAAAUUGAAAUAAAGCGACUCAUUCUUCUCCAACUCUUGGAGUGGUCAAUCCCAUCUUGAUCAUACUCUGACUUUGCAGGUACUUGACUGUGCCCAGAAACCUUCCGUCACUGAAUUAGAAAUUCAGUUAGUCCAGUACCAAAGCACAAUGAGUUGCUUGCAAGUCACUG
rnacentral:lncRNA from 1 species